UGCGGCUGGAUCACCUCCUUUCUAAGGAAGAUGUUGAGUAUCAUUGAAUUUAUUGAGUGAUCUGA
rnacentral:misc_RNA from 1 species